rnacentral:rRNA from 1 species
UACGGGGGGGGCAAGCGUUGUUCGGAAUUACUGGGCGUAAAGGGCUCGUAGGUGGCCAACUAAGUCAGACGUGAAAUCCCUCAGCUUAACUGGGGAACUGCGUCUGAUACUGGAUGGCUUGAGUUUGGGAGAGGGAUGCGGAAUUCCAGGUGUAGCGGUGAAAUGCGUAGAUAUCAGGAGGAACACCGGUGGCGAAGGCGGCUUCCUGGACACUUACUGACGCUGAGACGCGAAAGCGUGGGGAGCAAACAGG